GCCGUUAUAGGCUUCUUGGUAACAGGUUUCUUUUGGAUUUCAGCUUCCUGGAGCCUGUUUGCUUGUUUGGGUUUAGUGGGAGGUGCUUGCUCGGCCUCCGUGGGGGAUGUUUUGGUUCUUUUAAUGUUCUAGUUUUUCCUUUGAUUACUCCUUGGCAGUUGUGUUUUCCCACGUUUUUCAGCUACUUUUUCUAAUGUAAACAUCAGUUCCUUUCUUACCAAAAAAAAAAAGGUCUUCGCUUUCUCUCUCUUUCGAGUAGUGUUGCAAUUGUUGUUUCGACCUUGGUGGUUUUAGGUAGAUGGUUU
rnacentral:lncRNA from 1 species